rnacentral:rRNA from 1 species
AGCAGCCGCGGUAAUUCCAGCUCCAAUAGCGUAUAUUAAAGUUGUUGCAGUUAAAAAGCUCGUAGUUGAAUUUCGGGAUCAAUUUGUCGGUCGUGCCUCGGUACGUACUGGCAUUAUUGGUUUCUACCUUCUGAAGAACCUUGAUGUCAUUAAUUUGGUGUCUUGGGGAAUCAGGACUGUUACUUUGAAAAAUUAGAGUGUUUAAAGCAGGCAUACGCUUGAAUACAUUAGCAUGGAAUAAUGAAAUAGGACGUUUGAUUCUAUUUUGUUGGUUUCUAGGAUCGACGUAAUGAUUAAUAGGGAUAGUUGGGGGCAUUAGUAUUCAAUUGUCAGAGGUGAAAUUCUUGGAUUUAUUGAAGACUAACUACUGCGAAAGCAUUUGCCAAGGAUGCUU